rnacentral:rRNA from 1 species
AUGCGGCGCGCGGGUCCCUGCUCGCAGCCGGCGGAGAGAGCGCGCGGAGCACUGCUCGUGACGGCCGGCCUCACAGUCGCAGGCUGCCAAGCAUGUUGUGGUUGUGGCUGGGGCGACGCGUUCAUUUCCUCCCUUCAGGGCACCUGCUGCAAAUGCACCUUCUGGAGCAGUCUGCUUAGGAAUAUACAGCAGAGGUACCUAUCAAGCUUUGUUGGUCAGAGGGUACGGUGCGUGCACUAUGGCGUCGCUUCUCUUUCUAAAGAGAAUCAUAGAACUGAUCCAGAAAGAGUUAUGCAGAAUUUCAAAAUGCUAAAUAGAGGAAUUUCAGGUGCAGCAAGGGAGGAAGGACAUGUUCUCAGUACAGCCAGUGCGCCCUUUUAUUUAGUAGAUAAAGACCUACUUAAAAGGCAGCUUCUGCGUACCUGUGGAGGCCUCGUAGUCUCUGGCUUUACAAUCUAUGGCGUUAAGGUUUUGAUUGACAGUUACGUUAAGGCUGUCAAAGAUAGUUACACGAAGUUUGUGGCUGUAAGUGUCGACAACACAGAACUUGACGACACGGAAGAAGAUGCCACGGAUUUAAGCACAAAAUUCAAUGAUGUAAAGGGGGUUGACGAAGCCAAAGCUGAACUCGAGGACAUAGUUUACUACCUACGAGAUCCCGACCAUUUCACACGCCUUGGUGGCAAGCUUCCGAAGGGUGUUUUACUUAUAGGCCCACCCGGCACAGGGAAGACCAUGUUGGCAAGGGCUAUGGCUGGGGAAGCUGGCGUCCCUUUCUUUGCGUGUAGCGGCAGUGAUUUCGAGGAGGUGUAUGUAGGUCUUGGGGCUAAGAGAGUGCGGGAGAUCUUUGAUUCAGCAAAGCAGCUGUCUCCUUGCAUAAUAUUCAUCGAUGAAAUUGAUGCGAUUGGUGGGCGCAGACACGCAGGAGGUUCGACGUUGGCAAGUCAGACCCUGAACCAGCUGCUUUCUGAGAUGGAUGGUUUCGAGCAGAAUGACGGGAUAAUUGUGGUUGCAGCAACCAACUUCCCCCAGUCAUUAGACAGCGCCCUUGUCAGGCCUGGGCGUUUUGACCGUCAAGUCAUUGUCCCUAUUCCAGAUGUUGAGGGCCGACGGCAGAUCCUUGAGGCUUACAUGUCAAAGGUGUCUACAGCCAAGGGUGUGGAUGUGAUGACCAUCGCGAGGGGGACGCCUGGGUUCUCAGGUGCACACCUUGCAAGCCUAGUGAACGAUGCCGCCCUCAAAGCUUCCAUGGAUGGAGCAAAUGCUGUUGGGAUGGAUCACUUUGAGUACGCCAAGGACAGGAUCAUGAUGGGCAGUGAGCGCAAGUCGAUGGUGAUAUCUGAUCAAUACAGGAAGAUGAUCGCAUACCAUGAGGGUGGGCAUGCCCUUGUUGCUAUCCUCACGGACGAUGCCGACCCUGUUCACAAGGCCACCAUUAUGCCUAGGGGAUAUACUCUUGGCAUGGUGGCGCAGCUGCCGGGGGAAGACAGCGAGCUCGAAGUCUCGAGGAAGCAGAUGCUGGCGAAUUUAGAUGUCUGCAUGGGAGGGCGGGUGGCCCAGGAGCUUAUAUUUGGAGAAGCAGGGGUUGGCACAGGUGCCUUGUCUGAUCUUAGACAGGCAACUCAGCUGGCGACAAAGAUGGUUACCAGGUAUGGAAUGAGCAAGCGGGUCGGCCUUGUUACCUAUAGCAAUGACGACGAUGUUGGCGGUGGCAAGACGAAGAACAUGAGCGGACGAACGUCAGAACUGGUUGAUGAGGAGGUGAAAGCACUGUUGGACAACGCUUACAAGAAUGCCAAAACGCUUCUCACGAAGCACAACAAGGAGCUCCAUGCGCUGGCAAAUGCCCUCCUGGAGCAUGAAACUCUCAGUGUUGACGCGAUCAAGAAACUAGUUUCGACAGCACGACAAGGGGAUUGUCCUAGCAGUAGCCAGCAAAAUCAGGGAACACCUCCUUGUGACGAGAUCUCGAAACUAGUAUCGACUGAACAACAAGAAGAUGGUCAUAACAAUAGCAAACAGGAUCAGGUAACACCUUCUCCCACUGGUAACGAGUUCAAGGAAUCAGCAGGUAGAUGA